AUGGCGGCUAGGUCGUCGGCCCUCCUCGCCGUGCUGGCCCUCCUCGCCGCGAGCGUCCUGGCGGCGAAGGCCGACUUCGACGACCAGUUCGAGGCGAUCGGCGACCGCGACCACAUCGGGUACCGGGACGACGGCAAGGACAAGGGGCAGGAGUUCUCACUGGAGCUCGACCAGGAGUCCGGCUCCGGCUUCAAAUCCAAGGCCAAGUACCUCUUCGGCGAGUUCGAGGUCAAGAUGAAGCUCGUCGACGGCAACUCCGCCGGCACUGUCACCUCCUUCUACCUGACCUCCGGCGAGAGCGCGACCCACGACGAGAUCGACAUCGAGUUCAUGGGCAACUCCAGCGGCGACCCCUACGUGAUGAACACCAACGUCUGGGCCAGCGGCGACGGCAAGAAGGAGCACCAGUUCUACCUCUGGUUCGACCCCUCCGCCGACUUCCACACCUACAAGAUCACCUGGAACCCCAAGAACAUCAUCUUCGAGGUCGACGGCGUGCCCGUGCGCACCUUCAAGAAGUACGACGGCCUGCCCUUCCCGUCGAGCCGGCCCAUGACGGUGCACGCCACGCUGUGGGACGGCAGCUACUGGGCGACGCAGCACGGCACCGUCAAGAUCCACUGGCGCCACCACCCCUUCGUCGUCCCCUACAAGGCCUACCACGCCAACGGCUGCGUCCACGACAAGGCCACCAACAAGACGGCCUGCCCCGCCGGCAGCGACGCCUGGAUGCACCGCGAGCUCGGCGAGGAGGAGCUCAAGACCGUCGCCUGGGCCGAGCGCAACUGCCUCUCCUACAACUACUGCGCCGACGGCUGGAGGUUCCCCAAGGGAUUCCCCGGCGAGUGCGGACGCGACCUAUGA
rnacentral:rRNA from 1 species